CCCCCCCCCGGCUAUGCCCCUAGGCUUAAAAUAUUCAAUAUUUCAUUAUUCUAUUCAUGCACAGUACAUAAAAAAAUUUCUAUAUGAACUGCACAUAUAUAUUUUAAUGUAACAUGUCAACUUUUAUGAGGUACCGGUAUAGGCUGAAAGAAAUGGACAUGGAUAGGGUUCUUUUGGGCAGGGCUGUUAUGAAUAAAAAAAUACGACAACUUUAAAAAUUACUCAAUAUUUAUGUUUAUUUCCAUUAAUAUAUUUGUGAUGAAACUGUGGGCUCUAACUUUCACAUAAAUAAAUGUAUUAUUUCUGUACUGAGCAUUACCAAAACAGAUAUUACAGAGUAAUAUUUCCUCUUUACAUUCUACGACCAGAUGACACUCUGCAAGUCAACCUACACUAAAGCACACAAUUGUGUUGAACCUCAGUAUCCAUCUAUGUGAAAAAUUACUUUUAUGGUGAGAAACAGAAUCUUGUAAUUUGUGCAAAAAAAAAAAAAAUUAUUUGUUAUUUUGACCAACAGAAUUUGUGUUAUCACAAGUUAUAUAACUUCAGUGUGCCUAGAUGUUAAACAUAGUUAGUUGAAGUGUAGUACGUUCUGGUAUCUCUGAAAUAAACUGUUUGAUGCAAUAACAUGCAUACAUGUAUCCAAUUCUUUCCCAGCAACCCAAAUAUCAGCUGAUACAUUAAAAUUUUCUGCUUUAAAUGCUAUAUGGCUAGUAACUCCUAUUCUCUUUAAAUGUACUUGAUUCCUGUAAAUGUAACCUGGUAAUAUUCUAUUGGUUAUUCCUCGAACAAAACUUAAGCAGGAAAAUGCUCAGAAUAAUGACAGUAAGUACAUAUACUCAAUAACAAACAAAACAGUUCCUGCGUAACAUACAUGAAUCAGCCAUUAAACAUUAGAAUAUGUACACACACAAAUACAAUUCAAAGUUAUUAGUUUUAACUUUAAAAUUGGGCUUAAAUAACUUUCUUCAAUUUAAACAAUUCUGUACCCCAUAGGGAAAGGGUACUAUGUCCAUUUAUCUAAGUUUACAGGAGAACAUUUUAAAGUUUUUUAUUAUAACCAGUAAAUACAUAAAAAUUAAUUAAAAAUGCUAACCAAAUUAUUAUAUCACAAUUUUAUAAGUAUGUACAUACAUUUUUCAUUGAGUUAGGAAUUGAUAGGCCUACAAACAUUAUAAAUCCCAUAUUGAUUACAUAGAAAGUUUAAAAUGUUACAAUUAAGAUAUAGACGGGGCACGCUGGAGCAAUGGACCCACGACCAACAACGGCCUAGCUUUCCAAGAUAUCCUGGCGCCCUCCGGACAUCAUCAUCAUCAUUACAACACCCGUACAGCCCGUCAGGUAUUCCCCGGGCCUUCCACAGAGGACCGGGUGACAGCAGGUGUAAAUGCAUGUAGCUGAUUUUGUAUUUGCCACCACAGGAAAAUGAAACAUUAAGGUAACAUGCUAUAGAUACAAAGAGAAAUAUCAUUGUAUUAAAUUAAUUAAUUAAAUGCACCUGUGGCAGUCUACAAGCAGAACACUCUCGCACUGCUCAUUUCACAAUCCCCUCCUAGUGUGAACCCCACUGUCGCAUAUCAAGCGGGGAAAAAAAAUUAGAUGUUUUAAAAUCAACUUCCAGAAAUAAAUAUAACAGCAAUAAACGGGAAGAAAUGGAUUGAUUGAUUGAUUGAGUGCUGUGAUUUAAUGUAAUAUUAACCAAUGUCUUACAGUCAAUAGUUUUUAAGGGCCUUCAAACUAAUUUUUAAGUCGACAAUAAUUUGUCAAUAUGACAGCAAAUGUAAUAAAUUAAGAAAGACUGGAUUAAGAUACAAACAUAAAGAAAGUACCGGCAAUGUAACAGUUGUUGCCAGUAGAUAAAGAAGGCACCAACAAUGCAAUGCCAUUACAUUAAAGUUUGUUGGGAAUAACUGGUCAAAAAAAAUAAAAAAAUGAAAAAAAUUCUCGGCGCUUGACCUCGCCGUCGUUACCUGCUGAGACACAUUUCUUACACAUUCUUUAAACAAAUUCUCUAUUUCAUUGUUAUCGUGCGCAAUAUUUACAAUCUAUUUAACAUUGCCGCGCGUUUUUCAAAAGAAAACCAACUUCCGAAGAUGGCCGAAGGUUAACCCUUCGGGCUUCAUCGGGAUGUACCUCAACUUUUGUACAUUGUAGUCUUCCCCAGCAGUAAACCCGCGGACAGCCGAAGAUUCACCCCCUUAGAUCGACAUGCCCUUCGGGCUGGGUCGGUCAUGUUCGGUUUUUUUUUAAAUUUUUUUUUUAUCUGUACGUUCAAAACAAACAUUGCAUUAUUGAUCAAAGAAUUGUAGACUAAUGUUAUUUUAUAUUUUUUAAGAGUAAAACGCAUGUACACUAAUAUUGCCCUGUUACUAAUUAUGAGAUUUUCAGGCUUGUGGAGAACAGCUUUUUUUUAUCUACUCUUUGGCUGGCCAAUGUAAAUAAGCAAUUAUUUCAUGAAUGCAGCGAGAGAGUUUAUUUGAUGUAUUUUAAAAUCACUGAUAAUAUUUAUUGGUGUAUUUUAAAAUCACUGAUAAUAUUUAUUGGUGUAUUUUAAAAUCGCUGAUAAUAUUUGUUUUGUGGCUGGAAGAUGGUAACCAUGGUGACUUGUGAAUUUUUAUGAAGGAUUAAUAAAAAGCAGUAAAAAUUA